AAAGGGAGACCUAAUUCGGGUAUGAGAUGAAAAAAAAGUAGUCCCAACCAAGAAUCAAUCCCAAAAGGUCGGAGCGAGGCAAAAUUGGCUUUCAAACUAGGUUCUGGGUUCACACAAGACCUGAAUCAGGAACAAGGGCUAUUAGCUCAGGUGGUUAGAGCGCACCCAUGAUAAGGGUGAGGUCCCUGGUUCGAGUCCAGGAUGGCCCACCUGCACAGGUGGCAAAAACAAGAGAAGCGAGGAAUCAGCACCUUAUCUUAUAUACAUAUAUAAGAGAGAAUGCUGGCUCUGAGUACAGAGUCCAGAGGAACCUUGAAAACUGCAUAGAGCUAGGUGAAAAAGCCAAAAAAGAAGACCGCAAG
rnacentral:tRNA from 1 species